AGAACUUCCCCGCACGGCUGCUCCUCAUCACUGCAGCGGGCUGACUCAUCUCGAGAGGCGAUGAACUGCUUCUGAUGGAUUGUCUUCAAGGUAAUAACCAGGGCCAUGAAGAAGAACCGUGUAUGGCAUAGAGUCCCGUUCAAAGUUUCCAAAUAUAAAUGCACCCGAGGCACAGCAGUUGUUCUGAUGAUGUGAUCCUCUUAUACCGUGAGGUGUCUGAAAUAACUCUCCACUGAACAGAACAUAAGUCAUGUCCUGCGAGAUCAAACCAGGGUCUGUCUGGCCCAGCCCUCUAUUCCUGCAGUUGCCAACAGCAGAUGGCUCUGGGCAGUUCCCUUCCCAGGACACAGCUUCCACAAAGGACUUUGGUAUUACAUCUUCCAAUGCCCUGCAGAAAUGCAUCUCAUUUUAAAACCAUCUCUAGCAUGACUAAGGGAGGCAUCAGCAGAAAGUAGACCAGGUGAUCUCCUGGUUGAUCUCUGGGUUGCCUUCAGUACAUUUGGCUCUUGGUUGAUCGGUUGGUUGGCUAGCUGGCUGAUUGGUAUUAUACCUGGCCAUGCUCCUAGCAGAGGGAGCCAAGGAAUUUUAGAGUGAAGGGAGUGAAAGACGGAGACAAGCAAGAGAGGCUCUGCAGAGAGAACCAGAAUACCUGCCAUGGGAAGGUUACAUGUACAAGGCCGGAAGAGGAGACACCGUGUCCAGGCUCCUGCUGACAGUGCUGCAUCACUUGGCCAAGAGACCAUCUUGUUCAGAAGACACCUGGAGGCUGAGGAAGAUACUGUGAAAACUAUUCAGGAGUACACAGUCCCUCCCCCUUGAUGUGAAAGGCCAAGCUUCCUUGAGGAAAAGCUUCCGUUGUCAGAGCUCAGAAAAAGUAUUGUUUUAACUCCCAUAAUUCCUCAGCUAUUACUGGCAACUAACUUUCUCUCUAAAUUCUCCCAGUGCAGGCCUUUGCUCCAAGAAACUUGGACUUUCACUUCGGCGUUGCUCGGGCUUUCACUGGGAGCUGUAGCCCAAAAAAGUAAUUUUCCCCUGGCUGUUUUGUAAGAGUACCCAUCGCCCACAGAAUUCAACGAAUAAACCAGCAAGUGUUUUUGAGCUAUAAACA
rnacentral:lncRNA from 1 species